UUUAAUACGCCUCUGUUUUUUUUCCACACAUAAGGUUAUGUUAACCUAACUGAAGACAAGGUGAGGACUUGAUCAUUUCUACUGAAAGUGUGAAAGUGUUUUGCUGCACUUUGAGAUAAUUUCCACAGAUGAAGUGAAGCUCAGGUACUGUAUGUUUCAUCUGGAGUGAUGUGCUUGGUUUUGGCCUUUUCGGCUUUGAAGCAUUUGGCUCUGCUUGCUAACCCUUUUCAGUGCGGCAUACUUCUGUAGUUUGUAUGUGUGUGUGGGGAAAACACACACAUACACACACUCAUACAUAUUCCUCUGCUUGACUUCCACCCCCUUUCAUAAUAUCUGCAGGAAUGAGGGUGUUUUUGUACAAAGACAGAAUAGGAGACAGCAUUUAUUAUAACCUGCUGGAGCCCUGGGGGAUCACCACCUCAUAUUUCAUCUUUAAUGUAUCUUCACUCACAGCUGCACAUUUUUUGCCCGUCUGGCUGCAGCAGGAAAACUUCAGAGGGGAGGAACAACAAUGGGCAAGCAGGAUGCAGCCUGGCGUCCCUGAGGAGCAGAAGAGGAACGAUGGGCUUUAGCUGGAGCGGAGAGUGUAGCAAUGGGCCUUACUGGGCGACCCAUUAUGUACCCUGCCAUGCGGAAUGUGUGGGCCCCACUGUGCUGCUUUGCAUCUAUGCUCUCUUGUCCAUGAUGUGUUUCUCACAUGAGCAUCUAACCUCAGGUGAGGAAGGUGAAGCCCAGACCUAUAUAAAAAAAGGAAAAAAAGAAAAAACACGGCUGCUUCAAAGAGAUAGUCACCCUUGUGAGCAGACUUUUUUUUUUUGGUGGUAGUGGCAGAGGGGAACAAAUGUAAAACAAAGAUAUGUAAAUGUAAAACACAUCAAAUAUGUUGCACUUCUUACUAAAAUCUUUAAAGUAAAACCAGAAAGUCCCAUACAUCUUGUCACAACAAGCUACAAUCAGACAGAUCAGACAACAAUUUUGCCCUUUUUAAACAAAGACGGCUAAAGAUCAAAAUUUUAUUUUGCAAAUCAAACAAUUAUCAUUUGGUUCCAAUGCACGUAAAUGACAAAAAAAGAAAAGAGACAUGACAGAAAAAAAAAAAAAAAACUUUUUGUGAUUAUUUUGAUAGUUUGCUAACUGUAUGUAAAGUAUGAAUCAUUUAUUUAUCUUUAAAAAAUAUGUUUGAAAAUACAACUUGAUAGAUGAAGAGAGCAAAAUGUGUGCUCAAAAUGUGUAAGGAGAGGGAGGAAGAAGGUAAAUUAUUUCAAAGGAAGCCUAAAAAAAACUAUGUUCUCACUUUACUCCCAUUGUUUGUAAUCUAUCAUACCUUUUUGGUCUCUGCUUUUUCAACAUUUACUUGGAUCAUUUGUUACACCAAUACAUAGAAAAC